UACGGAGGGUGCAAGCGUUAUCCGGAUUCACUGGGUUUAAAGGGUGCGUAGGUGGGAUGGUAAGUCAGUGGUGAAAUCUCCGGGCUUAACUCGGAAACUGCCGUUGAUACUAUCAUUCUUGAAUAUUGUGGAGGUAAGCGGAAUAUGUCAUGUAGCGGUGAAAUGCUUAGAUAUGACAUAGAACACCGAUAGCGAAGGCAGCUUGCUACACAAUUAUUGACACUGAGAGACGAAAGCUAGGGGAGCGAAUGGG
rnacentral:rRNA from 1 species